GAACAACGCUUAUUUAACAGUUACGAAGCAGGGCUGUUAACAUAUUGGAUGAUACAGAAAUUACCUGUUAAAUGUAUACUGGAGAUCAAACUUGAGACGGUUGGGUGAGAUGUUUUUCGAACUAGUGGAAUUCACCUCAAUAACUGUUGCUACAUAA
rnacentral:snoRNA from 1 species